UGAUGGUUGUGGGAGUGGCGGUUGGUGUUGCAGUGUUCUUCAUCAAGAAAAAUGGAACCAAUGCUGACCCAAUACAUCGAAGAGGCUCUAAACAACCUGCAUAUGAGAACCCAUCACCUGUGUAUGAGAACCCAUCACCUGUGUAUGAGAACACAAGACAAAAUACAUCUCCACCUCUACCCCUGACAGUAAGUAAGCCCUGGUCACCUGGGAUGUCUGUGCACGUCUGUAUUCUACUACAGUCUUACUGUAAUAAACAAGA